CAGGUGACAGAACUGUAGUUCUUAAUGCUACAUCAUCAGUGAAAGAAAACUCUGCAAGCAGCUAGAAUAAAGGUCAAGGUUGAUGACUCUGAUUAGAGAACACCUGAAUGGAAAUAUAACUUUUGGGAGAUGAAGGGAGUACCUCUAAGAAUUGAGAUUGGACCUCGUGAUGUGUCUACUGGGACUGUGGUCAUUUCCAGAAGAGAUAUUCCCGGAAAAAAAGGAAAAGAUUUCGGGAUAUUAAUGGAUUCUUCAAUUUUGGUUGCUUAUGUUUAAGGGUUGUUGGAUGGGAUUCAUAGUUGCCUGCUGGAGAGGGCAACCACUUUCAUGAGCUUUUUUUUUUUUGGAAUUUUAAUUAAACCUGUCCUUCAAGACAUUGGUUCUUUUCUUUUGUAAACUUUAAUUACUGGUAGAUUGUUAGCUAA